UUUAUGGAGAGUUUGAUCCUGGCUCAGGAUGAACGCUGGCGGCGUGCCUAAUACAUGCAAGUCGAGCGAACAGAUGAGAAGCUUGCUUCUCUGAUGUUAGCGGCGGACGGGUGAGUAACACGUGGGUAACCUACCUAUAAGACUGGGAUAACUCCGGGAAACCGGGGCUAAUACCGGAUAAUAUUUUGAACCGCAUGGUUCAAUAGUGAAAGACGGUUUCGGCUGUCACUUAUAGAUGGACCCGCGCCGUAUUAGCUAGUUGGUAAGGUAACGGCUUAC
rnacentral:rRNA from 1 species